rnacentral:lncRNA from 1 species
ACUUUCAUGGGGAGUUUAGAAUCUAGGUUUUCCGAAGUAAAACUUACCUGAAAUGGAUACCAACGUGAUCGUGAAGUCCUCAGGAUUCCAAUGGUGGUCUCAAAACUUGACGUUGGUAUAGAUUUAGGGUGGUUUUGGUGGUGGUCCGUGUGAGUUCGAAGGAGAGAGACAGAGAGAGUGAGAAAUCGUGAAGGAGGAGAGAGAAAGACAGUGAACGGGAAAUGAGGAGGGUUUUGAGGGAUGUGGGGAUCCCACGUGGUCCUUAUUCCAAUCUCCAAACACCAAACUUUAACAUUUUAACCUAAAAAUCUAAGUUCCAUCCUUAUUAAAUUCCAUUUUAUUUUUCAAACUUAGGAACCUAGAUAAUUAGCAACCUGAGCUUCACAAAUUUAGUAUUUCUUAAGGGCAAUUUCGUCCAUUCACAGCCACGAAUAUAAUAAUUUGGAACGGGCUGUGACAAUCUUCCCUCCUUAUAGAAUUUCGUCCCCGAAAUUCCAGCAACCAACCAAUUCAUCAACACUUAUACCAACCUCGGUAAGUUUCUUUCAUCCGAUUCUUUUUCUCCCACGUAAUUUUCUUCCACUGAAUGAUUCCUUCACAAAACUUUUACCAUUUACUCUAUCUUAACUCUCAGGACCUUCUUUUUCCAAUCCAAAUUCUACUUUUCUAAGGUGAACACUUCUAAAAUAUAAAACCAUUUACCUUAUAUACUCGAUUAGUGGCAUAUCCAUCUGUUGAUGUCUUUUGUCAUUCCUGGUUACUUUUAGGUUAACUUAAUCACCUGAAAUACUUUGAGGAGACUCAUCCAUAGUCUCAGGGUCUACUAAAACUCUUUCUCGAUCGAAUCUUUUCUCUACCCAGAAAUAUUCCAUUCACAAGUCAACAAAACACACACAUGACACACUUUCAUGAACCUUAUGGCUUCACUUCGGAAACUGCGCAACCAACAUACUUAAGAAACUUAGCAGUUCCGUAAUCCAAUUCUCUUUCCAUUUCCGUUUCGAAACAGAAAAUAGCUGUCUCAAUCCAAAGGGUUAUUUCUUUCUGCCUCAAUCUGCUGACCAAUAAAAAUGUCGAAUGGUAUGAUAAACCUUAUUACUUUCGGAAUAUUGCAGAAGUUGAACAGUGAACUUCGUCCAAUAUUUGCUUGCUUCAAAUCCUCAGCAUUAGGCACAUACUUUUUGUUUUCUUGUAUCCACAUACCAUUUGAUUCACGAAUCAUGUACUCAUUCUUUUUCCCUUCUUUCUCUGCCUUGGUUAAUUCUUAAAUUUCCUCGUCAAACAUUUAUGUUUCGAGUACGACCUUACCAAAAGGCCUAACUUGAAACUUAGCAAGUAUAACUUCUUCUCGAUCUUUCAUUCUUAACUUUACUUUAGUUGAUUUCCAAUCCACAAGAAGAUAAUCUUGGCAAGCGUACCAGAUAUUAAUUCUUACUGCAGUCUUCUUAUCAAGUGCUUCAGCUAGAACAAACUUUACGAUCACCCUGAUCGUACAAUCAUGUUCAUUAAGCAAUACAAUUCACUUUCGCUGCCUCAUAUCAAAAUCCUUCCAAGAAAUAGAUAUUGAAGACUUUUUGGAUUCGUAAAAAUCUUGCAUUCUUACCAAAUAUAAUGCCUUCAUAACUUCACAGCAAGAAUGAUAAUCAUGACUUCCAAGUCACCCGUAGGGUAAUUCAUCUCAUGAGGUUCCAUUUAUCGUGAAACGUAUGCAAUCACCCUAACAUUUGCAUCAACAUGCCUCCAAUACCAUUCAAGAAACAUCACUAAAAAUUUAUGAUUACCAUUAUUCUCUGGGAAUACCAAAAUACGUGCAUGAGUGAGGAAAUACUUCAGUUGUUGAAUCCUUUGCUCACAAUUUCCUUCCCACUCAUACAUAACCUCUUUUCUCAUCAGUCUCGUUAAUGACAAAGCAAUGACUAAAAAUUCUUUCACAACCAUCCAAAAUAGCCUGGUAAGCUAAGAAAUUCCAAAUCUCAAUUACGACUCGUGGUUGUUCCAAAUUCUCAAUUUCUGCUAUCCUUUAAGGAUUCACUUGAAUACCUUAAGCAGAUAUAACCAAUCUCAGAAUGCCACUUGAUUCAUCCAACAUUCGCAUUUGCUAAACUUAGCAUACAACCAACGUUCUCUCAAUCUUUACUUCAUUGACUUAAUACGUUUACAUACUCUGCUCUGGCUCAGAAUAUGCCAGAAUAUCUUCAAUGGAAAUGAUAUCAAUUUAUCAAGGCAUCAUUGGAAUACUUCAUCCAAUAACUCAUAAAACAGCAUGAGUAUCCAUAUAGCAUCACCAAACUUCAUAAAAACUAUAACAAGUCCAGAAAACCAUCUUAUGAUCAACGUCACUUAUAAUAUUCAAUUGGUAGUAACCAGAUCUCAAUUCAAUCUUUGAAUCUUCGCAAUUACUUCUGAGCUGGUUAAAUAAACAUCAGUACAUAUGGAUGGUUCUCAAUCGUUACCCGACUCCAUUAUCUAUAAUCAAGGAAAUCCAUUUUCUUUCUCAAACUGGGGCUCCUCAAAAGUGUUGUACUAGGUUGUAAUCAACUUAUCCAAACUGAACUCCAAUCCUUGAAAAUCAUCCUGAACCAAUCUCCAAAUUUCAAUAAGAUCUCCUCAACUUCCAUCAAAAUACGACAUCAGAAAAGUCUAACUCUUUCGACAUUAUUCACACUACUCCAAACAACAUCAUUUAGCACCACAUGAGCUAAGUAUUUUUGACAGCCUUUCGAAAACAAUCUCUCUUUGCUCUCACAGCAUAAAUAACAGCCUGACUCAAUCCAUUUUGCAUACUUACAAAAGUAAUCUCUGUUCAUCCAGAUCGAUGGAAAGUACUGGUUUCCCAUAACAUUUCGUCUUGUCACAAUUAUAACCAACCAAUCUAAUGGAAACAGAAUUAACUGAUACAAUAUAUAUUCAUUCCAAAUAAGUACAAUACUAACUAAAAUAAUAAAUCUCUACCGGUUGCCUUGCUUAACGCCACGAAUGAGUUGAGUUAUUAAUAUUACGGUUGCAGCCCGCAAUACUGAUAAAAUCAUCGUUGUCUCGAUAAGUAGGCAACCACUCACAAAGAUAUAACAUUACUAUUUUGUCACUCAAUGCAAAAUACAUACACACUCGUCUCAACUACAUUUAUUUACCACUCUCUAGGUAUUCAUACAUAAUAAUAAGAAAUAUAUCAUCCGAAGUCAACUAGAAUGACCAAUACGGAUUGAUUCUUUUCUCUCAAUAAUACGUCGGCCGGAUCCACUCGCGCGUGGUCGGCACGGCCGAGCCUAUAACUCACCAAUUUCUCAUGUGUCAGUCAAAUCCAUUUCUUCAUGGGUCCGUACGGCUGAAACAUAUAACUCAUCAAAUAUCUCUGUACUCACGGUCAAUCCGACCAAACUACUAAAUCCAUAACUCUGCUGAAUCGACACUAUGAUUUCAUGGAAAAUUGUUGAGUACAACUGAUUCUAGGGACGAUUCACAACUCUGUGUCCCUUCUGUUCACAUAAACACAUUCAUUAAUUUCACAUUUCCCAAAGUGUUACUUUUGUACCUGCUGCACAAAGUACAUUUCCUUUACUCGAGACACCUUGUCUCAAAUAUCUGGGAUUACCAGUAUAUCCAUCACUUUUACUCUGACCAGCGACAUUAAAACCUCAGCUGGAAGAAUUAACUCUAGCUUCACUUCUUUCGAAGCUCUGAAUCCUUCGAUAUUCUUGAUAUGACGAAUCAUUAACUUUAUUGUCUUCUUUUAAUUCCUCUUUACUCUCGUUGAUCAUGUUCUCAGAGUCCUCAAGGCUCAACACAACAUCUCGUAUAUUCCUGGUAAAAGUAUAAUGGAUAGUGGUCACCCAAAAUACCACUUCCCUUUUUGCCACCCAGCUUAAAAUAUAUCAUACCUUACAAUACAACAAGAUGUCUGGAGGAUAAACUUUUCCUCGAAAACAAGUUUCCUUAAACAAUUUAAAAAUCAGCUGAUUCUCUUGUGACAACAAUUAAUAAUCCUGUUUUCCACCAGGAUACAAAUUCAUACCCAAACCAGGUAAUCGUCUCGACCCCCUGUCAGAAGGAAGAUUCCUUUGACUUGCAUAAUCUGAAACAUCUUUACCAAAUGGUUUAAACGUUUACUCGCUCCCUCAGGUUUCAUCAUUUCAUAAGGUGAUUCAAAUUCAACUCAUACCCCGUCUUAAAAUGUCCAUUUUGAUAAUAUACUGAAUCACCAUAAUAAUAGUUUCCCCCAAACCGCUAAAGGGAGAGCUAAAUUCCUCUAACUACGUGGUUUGCUACGAGGCGGUGUAGUUCUGACAGAAUUCACUAGAAACUUCUCAAGAUGUCCAAGAUUGCAACCAUGCUCUGAUACCAACUGACACACCCCGUCCCGAAGGAGGGCAUGCUGGCCGUCACGUGAGAGUGACGUAACCAUUUACACAGUACGGAAGCUUUAAAUAUACAAUUUCUAAGAUGAAACACCCAAAGGUGAGACCUAAUUUUGUGAAUUCUGUCAGAAUACCGUUGGAUUCCUCGUGGCCACCAAAACUCUGCUAUCAAGAACCUGGAGGGGCGAAAAACAAAAUUGAGUGGGUCAGUAAAACCAAUCUUUUCCAAAUCCAAACAUUUCUCAAAACGUUGUAACCCCUCUCUGUAAAACAUGUAUACUUUCCCAGAAAUGUAAAAUAUAAUUAUACAUAUAUAUUCUCAAUACUUCAACUCAUUACUCCACAUUUUUCAGUACAAAUAUGACAUGCCAUAUCGGAAUUCAUCAGUUAAGUAUGAAUGCAUCAACAGUAAUUAUAUCAGGUGCAAGAAGUAAUCAACCGGAGGCCCUCUAAUAGCCCUGUACGGUUGAACCUAGAGCUCAAAAUCUAUCACUCUCACUCUGCCGGAGUCACCUCUGUGACCUGUACGGCCUUCUGCACACAAGUUACGCUCUAGUGCUUCUCUCAUCAAUCAUCUGUGCACAUAAUCUAAGGUCACCUACCAGUCGGAAUCCCUCUAACGGUCUGUACGACUGGCAUGUCGGAACCACCCCCGGUGGUCUGUACGACUAGCAUCUACUUGGAUCCAAGGCGAGCGUGCGAUGCGGUGAAUACUAUAAGCACUAAACUAUGGUGCAGGAUUUGAGCUCAAUAUACAUCAACAUCAUCAUAACAGUAAUUAAAUACUCACCUGAUAUUCACCUGUGCGUCCGCCGCACCAUUCAUUCAUAUGCAUCAUAUCUCAAUUCAUGCUUUUCAUAUCAUUUCAUGCAUGGCAAUUCGAUUCACAUUUCUAUAUACUUUUCAUAUACUUUUAUGCAUAGCAUCUCAAUUCAUAUUUUUCGUAUAAUUCUAUAUACUUUUCGCAUACUUCUAUGCAUGGCAUUUCAACUAAUAUAUCUCAUAUACUUUUAUACAUUUUCAUUUAAAAGCAUAAUUUCAUGCAUUUUCAAUUUCUGGGAAAACGGCAAGUAUAUAUGUAUACGGAAAACAAAACUGCCCACUCACCUGGAGUUCAUCCAACAACUCCCUAGCACCACACAUCAAGGCGUCACGACGAUCGCCGCCUAGAAUAGUAAUCAAAUCCAACCUCAGAAUUCAUAUCGAUAGAAUAUUUAACUUAUAUAAAAUACGUCACUACGUAGUUCGAUCCGGAAGAUCUGCCACUCAGAUUUUAAAUCCAUAACUUCCAAAGGUCCACAUUAUACCUCUAGGACAACAUCCUAAAAUUUCAUUACCAUCCAACGGUUGGAUUUCCGUCAAUUUCCAAAACUAAGUGACGGUUAACAUUUUAUAUUGUGGACUUACAAUUCCAAUUCCGGAAGAUCCGUAACUCGGAUUCCCAAUCCGUAAGUUCCAAUAAUCCUCAAAUAUUACGUAUUACAACGUAUCAAAUUUUGGUGACGAUCCAACGGUCGGAUCAUCAAUUCACAUUUUCACCUAAAUGUGAAAACUAUAAAACGUUAUUUGAACACCUAACCAACAAUCCUUAAUAACUUUCUCAUACGGUGUUCAAUUUAGGUAUAUGAAUAUACCACAGUGAUCUACUCGACGUCACGGACGUCGACAUAUUUUUAAAAUAAUUUUAUUUUUUAUUUUUUAUAUUUUACUAUAGCACCUUCUUCUUCCUUGGGUCGCCGGACUGGUUUUUUCCGGCGGCCGUUUUCCGGGCAGUUUUUUCAAAUUGCCAUAACUUUGUCAUUUCUCAACGAAAUCAAGUGAUUCAAAAACGAAAGUUGUAGACCUUGAAGAGACAAAGAGAAUGGUACCUUGCACAACACCUAGUUCGCCGUGGUUUGGCCGGAAACUGCCUCGAAAGCCUCGGAGGUCGCCGGAAACUGGGUAUUUUUCAAAUGAGUAUAACUUCUUCAAUACUCAACGAAAUUGAGUGAAACAAAAAGGAAAGUUGUAUUACUUGACGAGACGAAGAGAUUGAUACCUACCUCGACUCCUAACUCGCCGGGGAUUAGCCGGAAAAAGCCUCGAAAGCUCCGGCCAAACUUUGAACUUGUCGAUCUCCGUGUUCUUACGUCCAAAAACUUCCAACGAAGCACUCCGAGCUUCCUUGGGACCUCACUAAGCUCACUAUGAGCUUGGAUUGUCCUAAAAAUCAACCAAUUCAAAGCUCAUGAACAGUACACUUUCAUGGGGAGUUUAGAAAUCUAGGUUUUCCGAAGUAAAAACUUACCUGAAAUGGAUACCAACGUGAUCGUGAAGUCCUCAGGAUUCCAAUGGUGGUCUCAAACUUGACGUUGGUAUAGAUUUAGGGUGGUUUUGGUGGUGGUCCGUGUGAGUUCGAAGGAGAGAGACAGAGAGAGUGAGAAAUCGUGAAGGAGGAGAGAGAAAGACAGUGAACGGGAAAUGAGGAGGGUUUUGAGGGAUGUGGGGAUCCCACGUGGUCCUUAUUCCAAUCUCCAAACACCAAACUUUAACAUUUUAACCUAAAAAUCUAAGUUCCAUCCUUAUUAAAUUCCAUUUUAUUUUCAAACUUAGGAACCUAGAUAAUUAGCAACCUGAGCUUCACAAAUUUAGUAUUUCUUAAGGGCAAUUUCGUCCAUUCACAGCCACGAAUAUAAUAAUUUGGAACGGGCUGUGACA